rnacentral:rRNA from 1 species
UACGGUGAAUACGUUCCCGGACCUUGCACACACCGCCCGUCAAGCCAUGGAAGCCGGGUGUACCUAAAGUCGGUAACCGCAAGGGGCUGCCUAAGGUAAAACUGGUAACUGGGGCU